ACUUUGUUAGCACAUAUUGUAUACUAAAAUUGGAAUGAUACACAGAAGGCUAGUACAGACCAUGCUCAAGGAUGACAUGCAAAAAAAGUGAAGAUUGAAGCUGUUCU
rnacentral:snRNA from 1 species